rnacentral:SRP_RNA from 1 species
GCCAGACGUGGUGGCACGAGCCUGUAGUCCCAGCUACUCGGGAGGCUGAGACGGGAGGAUGGCUUGAGCCCAGGAGUUCUGGGCUGUAGCGCAAUAUGCCGAUCAGGUGUCCGCACUAAGUUCAGCAUCAAUAUGGUGACCUCUCGGGAGUGGGGGACCACCAGGAGGGGCGAACCGGCCCAGGUGGAAAUGGAGCAGGUCAAAACUCCCGUGCUGAUCAGUAGUGGGAUUGCGCCUGUGAAUAGCCACUCUCUGCGCUCCAGCCUGGGCAACACAGCGAGACCCCGUCUCU